GAUGAAGAACGUAGCGAAAUGCGAUAAGUAGUGUGAAUUGCAGAAUUCAGUGAAUCAUCGAAUCUUUGAACGCACAUUGCGCCCCUUGGUAUUCCAUGGGGCAUGCCUGUUCGAGCGUCAUUUGUACCUUCAAGCUCUGCUUGGUGUUGGGUGUUUGUCUCGCCUCUGCGUGUAGACUCGCCUUAAAACAAUUGGCAGCCGGCGUAUUGAUUUCGGAGCGCAGUACAUCUCGCGCUUUGCACUCAUAACGACGACGUCCAAAAGUACAUUUUUACACUCUUGACCUCGGAUCAGGUAGGGAUACCCGCUGAGUUUAAGCAUAUCAAUAAGCGGAGGA
rnacentral:misc_RNA from 1 species